rnacentral:rRNA from 1 species
AGUCAAUAGAUACCCAGGUAGUCCACGCCGUAAACGAUGAGUACUAGGUGUAGGAGGUAUCGACUCCUUCUGUGCCGCAGUUAACACAAUAAGUACUCCGCCUGGGAAGUACGGUCGCAAGAUUAAAACUCAAAGGAAUUGACGGGGGUCCCGCACAAGCAGCGGAGCAUGUGGUUUAAUUCGAAGCAACGCGAAGAACCUUACCUAGACUUGACAUCUCCUGAAUAGUGUAGAGAUACAUGAAGCCCUUCGGGGCAGGAAGACAGGUGGUGCAUGGUUGUCGUCAGCUCGUGUCGUGAGAUGUUGGGUUAAGUCCCG